rnacentral:lncRNA from 1 species
UACCCCGUCUCUACUAAAAAUACAAAAGUUAGCCAGGCGUGGCAGCACAUACGUGCCUGUAAUCCCAGCUACUCAGGAAGCUGAGGCAGGAGAAUUGCUUGAACCUGGGAGGGGGAGGUUGCAGUGAGCAGAGAUUGCACCACUGCACUCCAGCCUGGCUACAGAGCUAGACUCUGUCUCAAAAAAUAAUAAUAAUAAUAAUAGAAAUAAAAACCAAACAAGCAAAAACAAGACAAAAUAAAAACCAACCCUCUUUGCCACUGCUGGAAGCGGUUGGCUGCAUCACACCAACUCUUAACUCUG